rfam:Dendroctonus ponderosae Seq01002740, whole genome shotgun sequence.
GCAGGUGAAUACAACGUCAAGCGAUGGGCGUUGUGCUCCAUAUUGUCCUAUUUUAAUAAUUUAGAAUAAUUGCAUAGCGAUUGAUUCACAUAAUGCCGGUCAAUGACCGGCUUUU